rnacentral:rRNA from 1 species
CUACGGGGGGCUGCAGUGGGGAAUAUUGGACAAUGGGCGAAAGCCUGAUCCAGCCAUGUCGCGUGUGUGAAGAAGGCCUUCGGGUUGUAAAGCACUUUCAGUGGGGAAGAAAGCCUUGGGGCUAAUACCCUCGAGGAAGGACAUCACCCACAGAAGAAGCACCGGCUAACUCCGUGCCAGCAGCCGCGGUAAUACGGAGGGUGCGAGCGGUAAUCGGAAUUACUGGGCGUAAAGCGCGCGUAGGCGGUCUGAUAAGCCGGUUGUGAAAGCCCCGGGCUCAACCUGGGAACGGCAUCCGGAACUGUCAGGCUAGAGUGCAGGAGAGGAAGGUAGAAUUCCCGGUGUAGCGGUGAAAUGCGUAGAGAUCGGGAGGAAUACCAGUGGCGAAGGCGGACUUCUGGACUGACACUGACGCUGAGGUGCGAAAGCGUGGGUAGCAAACAGGAUUAGAUACCCUUGUAGUC